AACGGUAGUGCGACCCAUUACUAGAAGUGGACGCACAUACAACAACAUACAGCCCUGAAAGAUAGCGAGUAGAGUAGUACAAUAACAUGCAACUCUGAAAGAUAACGAGUAGAGAAGAGUAGCGAGAACAAGCGGGUAGGAUAAAACGAACGAUCUCAGAGUUGGAAUAGACGCGGACGCGAACACACGGCACUGGUAACCUUUUUGACUUGUUAAACGGAUAUUCUUAACUUUUAAAAUAAACGUUGUAAUGAACUAUUUUUAAAAUAAACGUUGUAAUAAACUAUUCUUAACUUUUAAAAUAAACGUUGUAAUGAACUAUUCUUAACUUUUAAAAGAAAUGUGGUAAUAAACCUUUACGUUUUAAAUAAACAAAUCCACAAACCCACAAAUUGGGGGCUCAUACCGUGGAAAAAUUGUGGAUAAAAUUUUAAUGCGUGUUUUACUUAUCGGUGACUGUACAUGAAGCGGUAAAAGCGUCCGUAAGCGUCGAUAUCCCAACAUUUUUUUUCCGUUAACUUUCAUUGAAGAAGACUAGCAAAUCACUCAAGCUGCGGGCGAGAGUGAGCUAGUAAGAACAUAUUGGUUGGUGUCAGUGAAUAAGCAGAACGUGCGUUGGAGAAGACUAGCAGAUCACUCAAGCUGCGGGUGAGAGUGAGCUAGUAAGAACAUAUUGGUUGGUGUCAGUGAAUAAGCAGAACGUGCGUUGAAGAAGACUAGCAGGUCACUCAAGCUGCGGGUGAGAGUGAGCUAGUAAGAACAUAUUGGUUGGUGUCAGUGAAUAAGCAGAACGUGCGUUGAAGAAGACUAGCAGAUCACUCAAGCUGCGGGUGAGAGUGAGCUAGUAAGAACAUAUUGGUUGGUGUCAAUGAAUAAGCAGAGCGUGCGUUGAAGAAGGCUAGCAGAUCACUCAAGCUGCGGGUGAGAGUGAGCUAGUAAGAACAUAUUGGUCGGUGUCAGUGAAUAAGCAGAACGUGCGUUGAGGAAGGCCAGCUGGUGAGCGGCGGUGAGUAAGCAGAAAGGCGAAAUCAACUAGAAAGCACAAGCUGAAACAAAAGCGAAGCGAGUGUACAACGUGAAGGCGUUUCGGCGAAAAUACAAGUACAAAGCUUAUGUGUGAUGAAUGAGCAGAACGGCGAUUUAAGGAAAAGCAAAGAUACGGAGGAUGUCUACAAUCUAAAAUGCAUUUGUGUACUCAGAAAAUUCUACUAAGAAAAUUAAAAUCAAGGGCGGAUCAAUGCGAAAAGUUGGCACAACUUUUCUUCUGCGGUGUGGCUUGCAUUACUUAUACAUUUUCUUAGCUGGUCACAGAAUUUGGGCGGCGUAUAUGUAAUUUUAGUUGUCGAGAAUGUUUUACAUUGUAAUCUUGCUCUCUCUCUUUCACAUAAAUAUAUAAAUAAAUGUAUAUAUACAUACAUCUAAAA